CAGAGCAAUCUGUGUGACUGCGUACCUUUUGUAUAAUGGGUCAGCGACUUAUAUUCUGUAGCAAGGUUAACCGAAUAGGGGAGCCGAAGGGAAACCGAGUCUUAACUGGGCGUUAAGUUGCAGGGUAUAGACCCGAAACCCGGUGAUCUAGCCAUGGGCAGGUUGAAGGUUGGGUAACACUAACUGGAGGACCGAACCGACUAAUGUUGAAAAAUUAGCGGAUGACUUGUGGCUGGGGGUGAAAGGCCAAUCAAACCGGGAGAUAGCUGGUUCUCCCCGAAAGCUAUUUAGGUAGCGCCUCGUGAAUUCAUCUCCGGGGGUAGAGCACUGUUUCGGCAAGGGGGUCAUCCCGACUUACCAACCCGAUGCAAACUGCGAAUACCGGAGAAUGUUAUCACGGGAGACACACGGCGGGUGCUAACGUCCGUCGUGAAGAGGGAAACAACCCAGACCGCCAGCUAAGGUCCCAAAGUCAUGGUUAAGUGGGAAACGAUGUGGGAAGGCCCAGACAGCCAGGAUGUUGGCUUAGAAGCAGCCAUCAUUUAAAGAAAGCGUAAUAGCUCACUGGUCGAGUCGGCCUGCGCGGAAGAUGUAACGGGGCUAAACCAUGCACCGAAGCUGCGGCAGCGACGCUUAUGCGUUGUUGGGUAGGGGAGCGUUCUGUAAGCCUGUGAAGGUGUACUGUGAGGUAUGCUGGAGGUAUCAGAAGUGCGAAUGCUGACAUAAGUAACGAUAAAGCGGGUGAAAAGCCCGCUCGCCGGAAGACCAAGGGUUCCUGUCCAACGUUAAUCGGGGCAGGGUGAGUCGACCCCUAAGGCGAGGCCGAAAGGCGUAGUCGAUGGGAAACAGGUUAAUAUUCCUGUACUUGGUGUUACUGCGAAGGGGGGACGGAGAAGGCUAUGUUGGCCGGGCGACGGUUGUCCCGGUUUAAGCGUGUAGGCUGGUUUUCCAGGCAAAUCCGGAAAAUCAAGGCUGAGGCGUGAUGACGAGGCACUACGGUGCUGAAGCAACAAAUGCCCUGCUUCCAGGAAAAGCCUCUAAGCAUCAGGUAACAUCAAAUCGUACCCCAAACCGACACAGGUGGUCAGGUAGAGAAUACCAAGGCGCUUGAGAGAACUCGGGUGAAGGAACUAGGCAAAAUGGUGCCGUAACUUCGGGAGAAGG
rnacentral:rRNA from 1 species